UACGUAGGGUGCGAGCGUUAAUCGGAAUUACUGGGCGUAAAGCGUGCGUAGGCGGUUUUACAAGCUUGAUGUGAAAGCCCCGGGCUUAACCUGGGAAUGGCAUUGAGGACUGUGUGGCUUGAGUGCGGCAGAGGGAGGUGGAAUUCCACGUGUAGCAGUGAAAUGCGUAGAGAUGUGGAGGAACCCCGAUGGCGAAGGCAGCCUCCUGGGCCGACACUGACGCUGAGGGCACGAAAGCGUGGGGAGCAAACAGG
rnacentral:rRNA from 1 species